UUUAAGUCUCAGACCCAAGAAGAGCACAGUACUGGUGUCUUGGGCCGGAUCGGGAGCUGGUUCUCCCCCUGGAAAGAAAGAGGGAGCCCCAGGAGUCCAAGUGACGACGAUGCCUCUCAGUCCCCGACGGAAGACCAGAGCCCCAGGCCAGAAGGAGAGGGGGCCCAGGAGGAACCUGUGAGGGGAGAAGAGGAGCAGCAAAAGGAGGGACAGAAUUCCCAGCCUGCCCAGCGGCAUCGCUCCAGGGUUUUUGAGGAGUGGAACGCGGCGGACGCCAGAGCGUCUACCCACAGGGACAGCCCCCUCUCUGCAGCCAGCAGCCACAGCGAGUGGGGAGAAAGAGGAGGUCCUAGGGAGGAGGAGUGGUGGAUUGCCUCGCAGGGAGAGGAAACGGAGGAGGAGGGGGGAAGGAGCAGUGGAGCGAGCGGGAAUCCUGCCCCGAAGAGGAAUGCCAGCCAUCUGACACGUGUGCUUUCAUCUGCCCUUGAAGAGGGAGUGGCCUGGGAGGACUCUGACCGACAGGAACACACCCAGGCCCUGCCCCGAGCCCAAGUCCAGGCAGGCAAGAGGCUGCAUGUGUACCUGGAGGAGACGAGCCUGAGCCUGAGCCAGAACAGAACGGACACCCACACAAAGCAGGAAGUGCCCCACGCCAUCAUCACCACCAAGGUGAAGAAAAGACUUCAGGUGGUUUCCAGAGCAAAAUCAUCCAAGAGUGUUGACUUGUCAUCAGAGAACACCAAUACAAAGGAGAGGACCGAGGAGCGCAAAAGGAUUUGUCUCAAAGCUGCUAUAGGGAUCAAAGGUCAUAGCAGUUACAGUGCCCUGGUGGGAGUGUCACUGAAGUCCCCUACAGAGACACAGACGAGCUCACAGACCAUCCCUGAGCUCUCUGGUGAAGAGGAGUCAGACAGAGACACAGACACGAUGGGCCGUAAGAACUCAGGCAGGAGGCGGUCCAGGAAGAACUCCUCCGGAGACGGAGGAGGAGCCAGUUCUCAGGAGAAUACGCCCACCAAACCCCAGCCUGGAACCGAGAACUCACCUACAUCAUCAGAAUAUAACACACCUAAACCUGGAGACUCCACCCCCUCCUCUUCUAAAGACAAACAUGCUUCAGUUCCAACAAAAACACGCAGAGGGAAGGAGAGGGAGGAAGCCCAGGAGGACCUAGACGCACCAGUACACGCCACCCUGGUGGCCGUGGUGGACGGGGAAGGGGACAUGGGCGUAGACGUGGUCGACGACACUAGCCCAUGCCGGGUGGAGAGGCGCACGGAGAGCGCAGAGUCCAAACGCCGGAGCAUGAAGGUGUCACACAGCGAGGUGAAGUUCUUUGCGAAGAGAGUGAUGGUGAACUCGGAGCAGCCACUGAGUCCAGAGGGUGAUGGAGGACACGUUGCCGUGAGCUUUGAGAAAGGAGGGAUGGCUACAGGAAAGGUCACGGAGGGUCAUGAUACAGCUAAGGGAAAGGGCAAGGUGGAACCGAAGGUGACCAAGAGGUGAGUUGUGUUUACCUGACUACUUGAUUACUGUAUUGUUGGAUAACCUACUUCCUGACUACGCAGUUUAGGAAUCAGAUGUUAUUUAAAUACUUAAAAAUAUCUCUGUUUAUAGCAAAAAAAGUUUUCCCUUUACAGGUAGAAUAUCUUUGUAGUGCAUCAAAAUAUGUCCUACAUUUGUUGGCAUUUCAACCACUAUCUCCACUUAGCUGAUAAAGUAUUUUCAAAACACUAAAUCCAUUGAGAUAGAUUUUGUGUGUGAUAUAGAACAAAUGUAGUGUAUUUACAGCUAGAUCAAUUGAAUAUCAGGGUUUUUGUUCAAAUUGAGACAGAACACAUGCUUCUUUGUUUUCAUUGGUCACAGACCACCUGAUCUAAAGAAAGUGGACGAGGAAUCCAAGACUCCUCAGCCUAUUGGGCGGAUCGCAGAUAGGAUCA
rnacentral:lncRNA from 8 species